AGUGGGUGGGGCUUACCUGAGGCAGGAAGCCCUGACAGGAACAACUCUGAGGAGAAUAGUGAGGCACUGACAAGGGCUGAUGUGCUGUGAAGAAGGCAGCUCCAUCUCUCACUAGUGAAAGGACAAAUUUGGAGGAGGGGAAGUUAUCCGAUGAGGCUGUACUGACAGUUGGCUGACAGGGGAGCAGUGAUGUGCAUCCAGCUGAGGAGGAGGUCCUGCUCUGUGCCCUUUCUCUACCAGAUUGUAGUAGCUGUACAGUUCUAAAAUCAUUAGCAGGGCCAGUAUACAGUGACUGAAUUAGUGAGGCCAAGCCUAGAGGAGAGACUGUGAAUGUGGCUGCCCGCAGAGAGAAAUUCCUGAGGUGACAAGAGAAUCUUAAAGGUUCAGAUAUUCAGAUGACUGACACAACAGGUCCCCUUCAACGGCUCACAGAAUAAUGAACCUCGAUACCCAAGAAUAUACCCCCUGGAAACAGAAGAGGAUGGGACAUUCCCUUUAAAUUUGUAUUCCGUCACACCACCACAGCCCCAAACUCCAAGGCCACCCAGCCCAGACUUAUAGGAGCCAACAAUUCAAGCAGGUCCUGCCUCUGACUUCGUCUCCUCCAUGGCUUCAUUCCAUGACCAGCACUUGGCACUGUUAGACAUAGAAACAAAGCACUUUUCACAGCUAUGUCAUUAUUUGUGAAAAGUAACAUGUCAGCCAUGUUAACAUCAGGGACGUGUGGUGAGGUAAAUUUCUGAGGAGGCACUGGCUUGUACCAGAGCCAGAUGUACACACAACAUCUUAGGCAAAGGGUUCACGUGGGCAUUAUACACAGGUGCAGCAAUAUAUACUCAUGGAAAUUUGGUGAGGUUUGAUCAGAGAUGUGCAGAAAAUAUAGACAGGUGAGGCACUGCAUCACCUGCCACAGACUUUUUCUCUCCAGAGUUUUGCUCAUGAAAAUGAUUAGAAUUAUACAAAGAGGAUAUUUCUAAUAUAUUCUGUGCAUUUUUCAUAUACUUUUAUGCUCAAAAUUCUGGAGGAAAUGUUAGUAUGACAGGAAAGGCUCUGCCUUACCCCACCGCACGUCACAGGUUAACACCAAUUUGACAGAAAGUUUUGAUGUAAUGACCAGAAUCUUAGAAGCAAACCACUCUCUUUUAGAGGCACUAACAAAUUCAAAUAUGGCCUUUCAACAAGAUUCCAUUCGUUUAUAUGGCAGCCAAAACAAUAUUAGGGAGAUGAAUAAAAAUGUGAAAACAUCGGGAAAACAAACUGUCACCUCCCUGAGGCAUCAAGUUCCACCAGUAGUAGUGCCAACCCCUCAUCUACACCACUGUCACCCAGGCAUGGGGCCUGUACUAGAGGUGAGGGUACUGGUCCUUGUUGCUCUUCAUCCACCGCUAGCUAUCCUCCUAAAAGCAGACAUAGAUAGAAAUUUGUGUUAAUAUCAUACCCAAUUACAUUAUUAUGUUUCAAAUAAACUUCUCUAACAUUAAUUUAUAUGCUUUCACCAAACCAAUUAAAUAAUUUCUUGUUUUGUUAAUUCUAAAAAGGAAUUUAUACAAAAUUG